GGGCCAGACUGGAUUUGACAGCGGGUAGAUGGCAGGAAUAAGCAUGCAGUGCGGGUGUGAGCGGGCACUUUAAUCUCGGCUCUCGAAAAUUUAAUUGGCGAAAACAAGUACGCUCUCGCUGCUUAAUCGAAGUAUAGUAGAUUAGCUUUAUUUCGACACAAGGUGUUGAAACGAGACAUCCUCCCGAUGCCGCAUUCUUGAGGCGGUCGGAUACGUAGGGUGCAGCAAUAUCAAGAAUAGUUUGAAGUGGCCUCGCACUGAUAACGAAUUUUUUAGAGGAUAAGGUUGCAAUGGGUAGCUUUGGUCUUGUUGCAGCACGAAAAUCUAAGCAAAGCUAAGCAUGUAGAAAGUUUUUGGUAUCCCCGUUUGGACGAGGGUUCAAUCCCCUCCUGGUCCACAU
rnacentral:tmRNA from 1 species